UACGUAGGGUGCGAGCGUUAAUCGGAAUUACUGGGCGUAAAGCGUGCGCAGGCGGUUGUGCAAGACCGAUGUGAAAUCCCCGGGCUUAACCUGGGAAUGGCAUUUGGGACUGCAAGGCUUGAGUGCGGCAGAGGAGACUGGAAUUCCCGGUGUAGCAGUGAAAUGCGUAGAUAUCGGGAGGAAUACCGAUGGCGAAGGCAGGUCUCUGGGCUGACACUGACGCUCAUGCACGAAAGCGUGGGGAGCAAACAGG
rnacentral:rRNA from 1 species